rnacentral:rRNA from 1 species
GACGAACGCUGGCGGCGUGCUUAACACAUGCAAGUCGAACGGAAAGGCCCCUUUGGGGGUACUCGAGUGGCGAACGGGUGAGUAACACGUGAGUAACCUGCCCUUGACUUCGGGAUAACUUCAGGAAACUGGGGCUAAUACCGGAUAGGAAUCCUUGCUGCAUGGUGGGGGUUGGAAAGCUUCGGCGGUUUUGGAUGGACUCGCGGCUUAUCAGCUUGUUGGUGGGGUAGUGGCUUACCAAGGCUUUGACGGGUAGCCGGCCUGAGAGGGCGACCGGCCACAUUGGGACUGAGAUACGGCCCAGACUCCUACGGGAGGCAGCAGUGGGGAAUAUUGCACAAUGGGCGGAAGCCUGAUGCAGCAACGCCGCGUGCGGGAUGACGGCCUUCGGGUUGUAAACCGCUUUCAGCAGGGGCGAAGCUUGUGGUGACGGUACCUGCAGAGGAAGCACCGGCUAACUACGU